rnacentral:tRNA from 1 species
GGAGAUGUGUUAUAGCUCAGUGGUUGAACAUCUGCUUGGCAUGCAGAAGGUCCCAGGUUCAAUUCCUGGAAUCUCCA